rnacentral:rRNA from 1 species
AGAGUUUGAUUCUGGCGUCAGGAUGAACGCUAGCUACAGGCUUAACACAUGCAAGUCGAGGGGUAGCAGGGUAGCAAUACCGCUGACGACCGGCGCACGGGUGAGUAACACGUAUCCAACCUUCCCAUAACUCAGGGAUAGCCUUUCGAAAGGAAGAUUAAUACCUGAUAGUACUUUUUCAAGGCAUCUUGAAAAAGUUAAAGAUUUAUUGGUUAUGGAUGGGGAUGCGUUCCAUUAGAUAGUUGGUGAGGUAACGGCUCACCAAGUCUUCGAUGGAUAGGGGUUCUGAGAGGAAGGUCCCCCACAUUGGUACUGAGACACGGACCAAACUCCUACGGGAGGCAGCAGUGAGGAAUAUUGGUCAAUGGGCGAGAGCCUGAACCAGCCAAGUAGCGUGAAGGAUGAAAAGGUCCUAUGGAUUGUAAACUUCUUUUAUAGUAGAAUAAAGUGAUCCACGUGUGGAUUUUUGUAUGUAUACUAUGAAUAAGGAUCGGCUAACUCCGUGCCAGCAGCAGC